ACGAGUUUGAUCAUGGCUCAGAUUGAACGCUGGCGGCAUGCCUUACACAUGCAAGUCGAACGGCAGCACGGGAGCAAUCCUGGUGGCGAGUGGCGAACGGGUGAGUAAUAUAUCGGAACGUGCCCGGUCGUGGGGGAUAACGUAGCGAAAUUUACGCUAAUACCGCAUACGAUCUAAGGAUGAAAGCGGGGGACCGUAAGGCCUCGCGCGAUUGGAGCGGCUGAUAUCAGAUUAGGUUGUUGGUGAGGUAAAAGCUCACCAAGCCGACGAUCUGUAGCUGGUUUGAGAGAACGACCAGCCACACUGGGACUGAGACACGGCCCAGACUCCUACGGGAGGCAGCAGUGGGGAAUUUUGGACAAUGGGCGAAAGCCUGAUCCAGCAAUGCCGCGUGCAGGAAGAAGGCCUUCGGGUUGUAAACUGCUUUUGUACGGAACGAAAAGGUCUGCCCUAAUACGGCGGGCCCAUGACGGUACCGUAAGAAUAAGCACCGGCUAACUACGUG
rnacentral:rRNA from 1 species